UACAGAGGUCUCAAGCGUUGUUCGGAUUCAUUGGGCGUAAAGGGUGCGUAGGCGGCGCGGUAAGUCGGGUGUGAAAUCUCGGAGCUUAACUCCGAAACUGCAUUCGAUACUGCCGUGCUUGAGGACUGGAGAGGAGACUGGAAUUUACGGUGUAGCGGUGAAAUGCGUAGAUAUCAGGAGGAACACCGGUGGCGAAGGCGGGUCUCUGGGCAGUAACUGACGCUGAGGAGCGAAAGCGUGGGGAGCGAACAGG
rnacentral:rRNA from 1 species